GCACGGGUGAGUAACACGUGACUAACCUACCCUUGAGUGGGGGAUAACCUAGGGAAACCUGGGCUAAUACCGCAUAAUACCUACGGGUCAAAGGAGCAAUUCGCUUUAGGAGGGGGUCGCGGCGAUUAGUUAGUUGGCGGGGUAAUGGCCCACCAAGACUGUGAUCGGUAUCCGGCCUGAGAGGGCGCACGGACACACUGGAACUGAAACACGGUCCAGACUCCCACGGGAGGCAGCAGUGGGGAAUUUUGCGCAAUGGGGGAAACCCUGACGCAGCAACGCCGCGUGGAGGAUGAAAUCCCUUGGGAUGUAAACUCCUUUCGAUAGGGAAGAUAAUGACGGUACCUAUAGAAGAAGCCCCGGCUAACUUCGUGCCAGCAGCCGCGGUAAUACGAGGGGGGCAAGCGUUGUUCGGAAUUAUUGGGCGUAAAGGGUGCGUAGGCGGUUUGACAAGUCUGAUGUGAAAUCUAUGGGCUCAACCCAUAGUCUGCAUCGGAAACUGUCGGGCUUGAGUAUGGGAGAGGUGAGUGGAAUUUCCGGUGUAGCGGUGAAAUGCGUAGAUAUCGGAAGGAACACCUGUG
rnacentral:rRNA from 1 species